UCCCUUCGAUGGGUCUCUUUUUCAUUUUCUAGGUCUCAUCAAUAAUCAGGUGCUAUGCAUAUGUUUCCAGUAUACCUUAACCAUCUGCUGUAUUUCAUCUCCAUGGUGUCCAGGCCAAAUUCCGACUCUGGCAAUUUCUAUGGUGCUCAUCACCGUAGAAACUGAGUUGGAUGAAUAGUAACAAUCCCUUUGCUGAAAGGGAUAGCUGAAUGCUCUAAGCAUCGGGUCUGAAAUUCCUCGGCUUCUCAAAAUCUAAUCCUGGCUGGACUGACUCAACCCCUUCAUUCUCUGAGAGCAUUUUAUGGACAUUAACUGAUACUCCAAACUCCCCUGCAAGCAGGAUCACGAGAAAGGAAGCCUGCUGUUAGCUGUUAUUCCCUCCUUCUGAAGACCAAGAAAGGAGCUGACUCCCCACCAUAAUCCUGUCCCAACACUUCUCCAAGAGAAACUUGCUCUCUCGUGCACAUACUGAAUCUGCUGGAGCAGAGAUGGAAUAAUAGGAUCUGUACACAUCAGGUGGCUGGAAAAGAAUUGUCACCCCGAUUAGUUUGGUCUGCUUGAGCUAAUCCAAAUGGAAGGCUUUCCUGAGAAUUCUUGACCCUACUACCCUGUUAAAUAUGCAAUGUUUCUGAUCUUAUUAAAUUAGUCCUGAACCUGAAGUCCUUUAGGAUGGAGCUUAAUGCUGCGAUACGCAGUUCAAGAAAAGACAGAAAAACCAAACCUUCAGAGCACUAGCUCUACAUGUCAGCUCACCAAUAUCCCCUAUGUGGCAUUCCUUCUGUUAAGGUCACCACAGUGAGUGUGAAUACUUACAGGGAGAGCUGAGCGGCCCAACUCAGAAUUAAGUAUGUCUGCAUAAUAAUUAGUG